ACUAUCUACUAAUCGACUGUUAGCGACAACAGUCUGCAUAAUUUUCACAACUAUACAUCAUAUGUUAAACGCUCAGAAUAAGAGAAGGCAUAGGAUAAUGCAGCAGCAAAGAAAGAUGGAUAAUCUGUUAAGAGAUUUUUCCACUUGCCUCAUUCUAAAACCGCCACUUCCUGGAAUGGUGGAAGUGUUUGGGUGAGGAUAAGCAAAUAAACUUGUGUCUGAGUUCCCAAACAUCCUUCCCAAAAACAUUUCUCCGAAUACCCCAACUGUUGGGCUGGACAAACUGAUCGUUGAAGUACCCCCAAAGCUGGAUGGAGCCAAAGCAGCAUAGCUACCAAAGGCAGAGGGGACGGAUCGUCUGUGAUGAAGUUGCUGACUCACGUGAGAAGCUGGAGACAAUGAAUUAACGAGAGUUGCUAUCUCGAUGGCUUGAGGCCUGCGUGGUACUACAACAUCCCGUUGAGACUUCUUGGAUUCAGAUUCUGGGGAUGAUGUUCCACGGCCAUAAAGAGGUACCAGCGAUGAGUUUGAGAUGUGAGCCUUACAGACUGGACAUUUACAUUUCUCUUCUGAUCCCGGAGUAGAUCUAUCAACUUGAAGCCACUUGUAAAUGCAAGGCCAGCAGUAGAGGUGUCCGCAGAGGGUGACAACAGGAUCGUGUGCCGAGUCGAGACAAAUAUUGCAAUCAUAACCUCCUGUUAUAUUGUCAGAACUUGAUGUUGGAACUGGAACUGGAAUUGCACUCCCCUUCUCAAGGGAAACAUCUUCUUCAGAUACAAAAGUGAACAUAUCUUCAUCAACAAAAUUUUGUUCCACAGCCAUGAGGUCAAUAGAUGAAAAACGUAAGGACGAAGUUUCAACAAUGGCGAAUUGCAGAAAGCGAAGGUAAAGAGACGGUGAGAAAAAAGAUGAAAAAUUGAAUGGA
rnacentral:misc_RNA from 1 species